rnacentral:sRNA from 1 species
UGUCACUCUUGCCCCCCCCCCCCAACGUUUCCGUUGAAAUCGUUAGAAAUUGAUGUCACUUUGUAGCAAUAGGACACAAACUAGGAAACCAUGCAGACAACGAAUGGAGAAUUUCUUUCUCUCAGGCAGAAUAAAAACUUGUAUACUCAAUGAAUCACACCCAAUUCCUAACUUAUGGUUUGUUAAAAUUGUUCUUAAAGGAGAUAAUAAACAAUGGAUUAAGAGAUGAAGAUAGACUACUGUGUUCCUACCACAUCAAAACAGCUGUUUUCUGGACUAUUCAUUAAAACACACCUCACUGGUGUCCACAAAAUCUCCUGGCCGGUUUCUGGGUCUGCUUUAAACUUCUUGUUAAAUGGGUGUAUGAGGGGAUCUGUCCAAAUUUUUUCAUACCAGAGAACAACAUGUUUUUAAGCAAAAUCCAUGGUAACGCACAAACAACUUUUUUCAGGAGGCUGUAUGGGUUGUAUGAAAAGGGUAUAGCAUUGCUGCUACACAGUCCCUCCAUCAGGUCUUCUAUCACUGAUGUCCUUUAUAAUCCCAUACUCACGGUGUGUACUGAUGAACACACUCUGAUUUCUGAGGCUGAGUUUGAUAAAGAGUUGUUUGAUGAAAUAUUUAGUAAUGAUUCACAACAGACGUCAGACCUUCAGCGCUGUAUGAAGAUCCUACAUACGGUAGAACAUUUGAUAGAUUCUUCUCUGGCAAAGUAUCAUGUUGUUAGUGUAAAGACAUUUACAGCCAGCAUCCUUCAAUGCAUUGCUUUACAUUACACAACAAGUACCCUAACAUAGGUGUCAAUAAACAGGUGUAUAUUGCAGACAAAAUAUCCUGUCACAUUGUUAGAAUUAGCAGCCAAGUUUGGGUUUGUCUCUGACCUGUUGUACAUUGCCAUGUAUUAUUACAAGACACUCAGAUAUAGGGAAGCUUUAUCUAUUUCAGAGACGACAAAGGUCAAGUUAGCACAGCCAUAUCUGAUGUAUAGGGAUAAUGUAGACUGAGAGAAGUAUACUGAGGUUGUAGGGGAACAGUCCUGGUCUAUAAAGAUGUAACAAUGGAUAUUAUACUUGACAAUGAAAUAUGUUAUAUCAUUGAACUAUUACCGGAACAACAGUCUGGUAGACAGAACAGUUUGCCUGCAUUGUAUAUCCCAUACGUUGUACUGUUACACAUGCUACAGUUUUUAUGUUUUAAACAUGUUGACAAAACGAGAGCACAAACAGUACUAGAUGAUCUACAGGUCCUAGUCCACGAUGAUCGGGACCUAGGGAUCUGUCAACAGAUCACAGGGAACAUCCAGGCUGCCCUGUACUCAUUCCUGCAGUCACUCAGACAAUAUCCAUUCAAUGAAAUACAAACUGCUACCAUACAGAGAAUCCAAGAGUUACGCUUUUAAGUGUGAAGUUAAUUUGCUAAAUGGCGAUAUUGUAUUAACAAUGGGUUUAGCUAUGCAAGUAACAAUUUUAUCAGUUUUGAAUGUAUGCUACAUGUAGGUAUUUGCAUAAAAAACUAUUUAUUAUAUCAUUCAACAAUAAAAUUUUGCUAAGAAAU